GACGAACGCUGGCGGCGUGCUUAACACAUGCAAGUCGAACGGAAAGGCCCUGCUUUUGUGGGGUGCUCGAGUGGCGAACGGGUGAGUAACACGUGAGUAACCUGCCCUUGACUUUGGGAUAACUUCAGGAAACUGGGGCUAAUACCGGAUAGGAGCUCCUGCUGCAUGGUGGGGGUUGGAAAGUUUCGGCGGUUGGGGAUGGACUCGCGGCUUAUCAGCUUGUUGGUGGGGUAGUGGCUUACCAAGGCUUUGACGGGUAGCCGGCCUGAGAGGGUGACCGGCCACAUUGGGACUGAGAUACGGCCCAGUCUCCUACGGGAGGCAGCAGUGGGGAAUAUUGCCCAAUGGGCGGAAGCCUGAUGCAGCAACGCCGCGUGCGGGAUGACGGCCUUCGGGUUGUAAACCGCUUUCGCCUGUGACGAAGCGUGAGUGACGGUAAUGGGUAAAGAAGCACCGGCUAACUACGUG
rnacentral:rRNA from 1 species